GCUACUGCUAUCGGGGUCCGAUUAAGCCAUGCGAGUUGAGAGGGGUAAGCCCUCGGCAUAUUGCUCAGUAACACGCGGAUAACCUGCCCUUGGGUUUGGGAUAACCCCGGGAAACUGGGACUAAUACCGGAUAGAUCAAAGAUACUGGAAUGUUCUUUGUUCGAAAGCUCCGGCGCCCAAGGAUGGGUCUGCGGCCUAUCAGGUAGUAGUGGGUGUAACGUACCUACUAGCCUACGACGGGUAAGGGUUGUGAGAGCAAGAGCCCUGAGAUGGAUUCUGAGACAUGAAUCCAGGCCCUACGGGGUGCAGCAGGCGCGAAAACUUUACACUGCGGGAAACCGCGAUAAGGGGACCCCGAGUGCCAGCACCUAGUGCUGGCUGUCCAGCUGUUCAAAAAACAGUUGUUAGCAAGGGCCGGGCAAGACCGGUGCCAGCCGCCGCGGUAACACCGGCGGCCCGAGUGGUAGCCGUUAUUAUUGGGUUUAAAGGGUCCGUAGCCGGCUUAUUAAGUCUCUUGGGAAAUCUGGCGACUCAAUCGUCAGGCGUUCAAGAGAUACUGGUAGGCUUGGGACCGGGAGAGGUGGGAGGUACUCCAGGGGUAGGGGUGAAAUCUCGUAAUCCUUGGGGGACCACCGAUGGCGAAGGCAUUCCACCAGAACGGGUCCGACGGUGAGGGACGAAAGCUGGGGGCACGAACCGGAUUAGAUACCCGGGUAGUCCCAGCUGUAAACGAUGCUCGCUAGGUGUCAGGUGCGGUGCGACCGCAUCUGGUGCCGUAGUGAAAACUUGAAGCGAGUCACCUGGGAAGUACGGUCGCAAGGCUGAAACUUAAAGGAAUUGGCGGGGGAGCACUACAACGGGUGGAGCCUGCGGUUCAA
rnacentral:rRNA from 1 species